AUUGAACGCUGGCGGCAUGCCUAACACAUGCAAGUCGAACGAGCGGCGGACGGGUGAGUAAUGUCUGGGAAACUGCCUGGUGGAGGGGGAUAACUACUGGAAACGGUAGCUAAUACCGCAUACCCUCAGAUGUGCCCAGAUGGGAUUAGCUUGUAGGUGAGGUAACGGCUCACCUAGGCGACGAUCCCUAGCUGGUCUGAGAGGAUGACCAGCCACACUGGAACUGAGACACGGUCCAGACUCCUACGGGAGGCAGCAGUGGGGAAGAUUGCACAAUGGGCGAAAGCCUGAUGCAGCCAUGCCGCGUGUAUGAAGAAGGCCUUCGGGUUGUAAAGUACGUUCAGCGGGGAGGCGGUACCCGCAGAAGAAGCACCGGCUAACUACGUGCCAGCAGCCGCGGUAAUAC
rnacentral:rRNA from 1 species